rnacentral:rRNA from 1 species
AUGGCCGGCGACAGAUCCCCUUCACCUCCCGCCGCCUCCCCGGCGUCCUCUUGGAGUGAAGCUAAAACUCAGAAGCAUAAACUUGGAAGAUUGUAUCCACUCGACUUUCAAGGUAGUAUAGAAUUUGCAAGAAAACAAGAUGAAGAACGAGCUCAACUAUUCCAAGCACGAGGAUAUUGGCCACUUGACUAUCAAGCUAAUACACGAUAUGCAGACAAACAAGCUGAAAAACAAACACAAUCAGUUGAAGCGCGAGGGCAACAUACUUAUGCUUCUAAAAAGGAAGAAGCUGCUGCAAAUGCGAAACGAUAG